UUAUUAUAGCUUCAGCACAUAUCUCGAGAUUAUCAUGUGAUUUUCAUUUGCAACUCUAGGAUUUCAAAUAUGUUUAGAGUUGGAAACAGUAUUCAAGAGCAGUUUGCCGUGUGAUGUGAGGAAAGUAAGGGUGUGAUUUUUCAAAAACAUUUUAAGUAUGGAGGGCACAAGUAAAGACCAAGGUUCAAGUAAACAACCCAUGAUUUAUAUCUGUGGAGAUUGCCAUCAAGAAAAUGAUAUCAAGCCCCGGGACCCGAUCCGUUGUAGGGAAUGUGGUUACAGAAUUAUGUACAAGAAGAGAACUAAAAGAUUAAUUGUGUUUGAUGCACGCUAAAAUGGAUGUUAAGUGGAGAGCCCAGAUACAAGUGUCAUUACCUUUCAACAUGCUUCAUACUUGGUUCAAAUGAAAGAUCUUGUGUUGUAUAACUUGUAUUCAUUUGUAUAUGUUUAGAGUAAAUAAAUAUCUUAUUUCUUUGAUAA